GACGAACGCUGGCGGCGUGCUUAACACAUGCAAGUCGAACGGAAAGGCCCUGCUUUUGUGGGGUGCUCGAGUGGCGAACGGGUGAGUAACACGUGAGUAACCUGCCCUUGACUUUGGGAUAACUACAGGAAACUGGGGCUAAUACCGGAUAGGAGCUCCUGCUGCAUGGUGGGGGUUGGAAAGUUUCGGCGGUUGGGGAUGGACUCGCGGCUUAUCAGCUUGUUGGUGGGGUAGUGGCUUACCAAGGCUUUGACGGGUAGCCGGCCUGAGAGGGUGACCGGCCACAUUGGGACUGAGAUACGGCCCAGACUCCUACGGGAGGCAGCAGUGGGGAAUAUUGCACAAUGGGCGGAAGCCGGAUGCAGCAACGCCGCGUGCGGGAUGACGGCCUUCGGGUUGUAAACCGCUUUCGCCUGUGACGAAGCGUGAGGGACGGUAAUGGGUAAAGAAGCACCGGCUAACUACGU
rnacentral:rRNA from 1 species